rnacentral:rRNA from 1 species
AUUGAACGCUGGCGGCAUGCCUUACACAUGCAAGUCGAACGGCAGCACGGGAGCAAUCCUGGUGGCGAGUGGCGAACGGGUGAGUAAUAUAUCGGAACGUGCCCAGUCGUGGGGAUAACGUAGCGAAAGCUACGCUAAUACCGCAUACGAUCUAUGGAUGAAAGCGGGGAUCGCAAGACCUCGCGCGAUUGGAGCGGCCGAUAUCAGAUUAGGUAGUUGGUGAGGUAAAGGCUCACCAAGCCGACGAUCUGUAGCUGGUCUGAGAGGACGACCAGCCACACUGGGACUGAGACACGGCCCAGACUCCUACGGGAGGCAGCAGUGGGGAAUUUUGGACAAUGGGCGCAAGCCUGAUCCAGCAAUGCCGCGUGCAGGAUGAAGGCCUUCGGUU